GAUGAACGCUGGCGGCGUGCCUAAUACAUGCAAGUCGAGCGAACAGAUGAGGAGCUUGCUCCUCUGACGUUAGCGGCGGACGGGUGAGUAACACGUGGAUAACCUACCUAUAAGACUGGGAUAACUUCGGGAAACCGGAUCUAAUACCGUAUAAUAUAUUGAACCGCAUGGUUCAAUAGUGAAAGACGGUUUUGCUGUCACUUAUUGAUGGAUCCGCGCCGCAUUAGCUAGUUGGUAAGGUAACGGCUUACCAAGGCAACGAUGAGUAGCCGACCUGAGAGGGUGAUCGGCCACACUGGAACUGAGACACGGUCCAGACUCCUACGGGAGGCAGCAGUAGGGAAUCUUCCGCAAUGGGCGAAAGCCUGACGGAGCAACGCCGCGUGAGUGAUGAAGGUCUUCGGAUCUUAAAACCCUGUUAUUAGGGAAGACCAAAUGUGUAAGUAACUAUGCACGUCUUGACGGUACCUUAUCAGAAAGCCACGGCUAACUACGUG
rnacentral:rRNA from 1 species